AAUCUUAGACAAUGGGCGCAAGCCUGAUCUAGCCAUGCCGCGUGAGUGAUGAAGGCCUUAGGGUCGUAAAGCUCUUUCGCCAGGGGAUGAUAAUGACAGUACCUGGUAAAGAAACCCCGGCUAACUCCGUGCCAGCAGCCGCGGUAAUACGGAGGGGUUAGCGUUGUUCGGAAUUACUGGGCGUAAAGCGCGCGUAGGCGGAUUAGUCAGUUAGAGGUGAAAUCCCAGGGCUCAACCCUGGAACUGCCUUUAAUACUGCUAGUCUUGAGUUCGAGAGAGGUGAGUGGAAUUCCGAGUGUAGAGGUGAAAUUCGUAGAUAUUCGGAGGAACACCAGUGGCGAAGGCGGCUCACUGGCUCGAUACUGACGCUGAGGUGCGAAAGUGUGGGGAGCAAACAGGAUUAGAUACCCUGGUAG
rnacentral:rRNA from 1 species